rnacentral:rRNA from 1 species
GACAGAGGCCUCGAGCGUUAGGCGGAAUCACUGGGCUUAAAGCGUGUGUAGGCGGAUCGUUAAGUGCCUUGUGAAAUCCCACGGCUCAACCGUGGAACGGCUGGGUAUACUGGCGGUCUUGGGCCAUUCAGGGGCGACUGGAACAAGCGGUGGAGCGGUGAAAUGCGUAGAUAUCGCUUGGAACGCCGAAGGUGAAAACAGGUCGCUGGGGAUGUGCCGACGCUGAGACACGAAAGCCAGGGGAGCAAACGGG